AUAUCCAAACAGGUUCCAGUGGGAGUGGCUGCUGCCCUGGCAUCCAGAAGCUCACUGGGGAGGUUUGGCUCUGCAGGUAGCGACAGGAUCUCUCCAGAAGACUGAAGAAGCCAAAGAAAUUGUUUGUUUUACCCGAUAAGACGCCGAGAUAGUGAAGCGAAGGCUACAAUCCAGGCCAUCGCUCAUUAAUCCAUAAUGAGUAUCAUGACUUCCAGGGCACUGGGACGGAUUUGAGCAGGCAAAGCUGUUCUCUGCUUCACACACAUGACAGGUGAUCUCUGUGGGCCCACAAGUGGAACGUUGGAGAGGAAAGAAGAGAAAAUGAGACCACUGUUCAUCCUGCAAUACCAAACCUGUCAUCCUGUUCCGUGUGACUACCAAGUCCAGGGAUUAGGGAUCAGUACUCACGGUCACUCUGUGCCAACGGUAAGCCCAGGACUAUGAGCAAGGCCAUUAGGAACACCAUCUCCAGAGGAUGCUUGGUCCUGUUGAGGAAAGGAGCGAGUGGCUAGCUCUGUUCACUGAAGUCCCCAGUCCCGCGUGGCACGGAACGCUCCCUCUCCUGGUCCGGAUGCCAGCCCCACCCCCACCUCGCCAUUGCCCCUGGCCUCCUUAUCUCCACGUUCGGCUGACCACCAUGGGGAAUCUUUCUCACACCUUCUACCCCAGAUAAUCGAUGUUCCGGACCGCUUGCCGGCCCUUGAAGUGAACGAAAUGAACGGUUAACUUGCUGGCAACCCCCAACCACACUCACUUCCUCAGCAGCCCGUGCCUCGGCGGCGUGUCCACGGGUCCCUGCAUCUGACUGGCGAAGUCAGAGACUCAGCUAGUUUGGGGUCGCUCUCCCCACACUGCCCCCUACAGAGUGCCGUUGGUGUGCUCUUUCUGGAACAUUCCGGCUCCCGCCAGCCUCCGCGUCUCAUUGAGGUCCGCCCAGAGAGGACGGAGGGCUCAGAGUCUGCGUGACACCCAGCUAACAGCGCCCUCUGCCUGACCCCACGGUAGUUACUCACGUCCUAGGAAGAAUCUUCUUCCUGGCAGCCAGACACCAGACAACCCAACUCUGACUAGAUGUGGUGCCAGAGCCUGACUGUGUUCAGAUUAGUUCCGUGAACGAACACAACACACACAAGCUACUAGAUCGACGGGUUUUCGGGAACACAGCUCCUUCAGUCUGGCACAGGAAGCGCGUCUGCAGAUUUUUUUUCGUUGAGCUGUCCCAUAGAGAACUCCAGCCAAACCCAUUCCCAUUUUUCUUGCUUCCUUUUGACCCUGCUUUCUCCCCACGGUCCUGUGAUGAUGUUUUUAUUUUUAUUUUCCACAGUUGCAUGAAUUCCCUAGCUAGAAUUUAGCAUAGCAUAUUAAAACAGUCUCCUUUAAGAUAGAAAAAUAAUUUUUUUGGCAGAAUUUUUAUGUUAUAGGCAGUACUGCAUUGUCUAGAAUGUCACUCUCAGUGUAUAAAAGCAUGCACAGGGGCAGCUUCCCACCAGUGAUGUGGAAAGCCAAAGGGUUAGAUGUAUUUGGACCAUUAUGCCCAAGUUACUGCAUAUAUCAGUGGAUGACUUUGUCCUUAUGAUAAACAUAGGUAAUAAUAUGUGCACUAUUUGUUUUUAAGUAAACAGCGUUCUUAUUAUU
ensembl:antisense uncharacterized LOC110335298